ensembl:lncRNA
GCUAGCUAGCUGCUAAUAAGUUACAUAUAACGUUAGUAUGCUGAUUAAGCAAUAUAGUAAGAGUGCGAGUGGGGUAGGUAAGGGAUAUUCCCACGGCUGGUGUUUGGCCGGAUAUCCCUUAUCUACCCCACUCGCACGAGUACUAUAUUGCUUUUAUAAAACAAUUUUAUAGUCAACCAAUUAACAUUAACACAAAACGAAGUUAUUGAUUUAAAAAAUGUUUAUUUCGCCAUUGUUUCUCCGCAACAAAAAAAUUGUUCCAUUGUCAACGUCUUGGUUGCCACGUAACCAACAUUCCAGAUGAGUGUUCCUUUCCUAUUUGUAGACAUUUAUUUGUACAUUUCCCUGGAUGGUGCACCCAUGUAGAUAUGGAUUAUCUCUGCUCUGAUCAUUUGUCUGACAUAGGCUUAUGCGCGGGGUGCUAUGGGGGAGCUCAGCGUUUUAGUGAGGGUGCUAUGAAAUGAGGAUGAUAGCCUACAACAACUUUACAUGUUUGCUCUCUGAAGCGUAUUUGGGGUCCAUGAAAAGCGCUAAACAAACCGAUUGUAUUAUUAUUAUCACUAUCUAGGCUUCUUCCGAAAGACCCGCACAUCUGCGACGGUCACUGACAAAAGGCAUACAGCAUGUUAUAGAGUCCGCAAUCCCAAAUACCUAACUUACUUUAAAACACUUGUGGUAGUGAGGAUUAAAGUUGGGCGACAGGUGACCACUACCAUGUCAGAUAGAGUGAAAUUAAUCUUGGAAUAGCAGAUAGAAUUAACUAAAACAGUCAAAUAGUCAGAAAUGCGUUAAAAAGGUAUAUAUUAUUUCAGUUCACAAUCAUCAGUAAUCAUAUAGAACCUUAUGUAUACCUAGCACACAGACAGACUGCUUGUCUUAGGCUUAAGGCGGCUCCAAAAAAAUCCCAAAAAGAGGAAAAGGGCAAAAAGUUAAAAUCUUCGUUGCUAUUCAACCAAAACGAGUCUUCAGCGGCACAGGGCAAUUAAUGCAUGCAACAAAUCAGACAGCUUUCAUUAAUGUUACACAGCUAACAAUACCUUAGUUACACUGUACUCCAACCACGCAAACUGUUCCAACCAGCUUUUACAAAAACUCCUUUGUUGGACUCCAAACAUGCAAGGUGGAUAUUUCUGGAGUUUUGGUCUUCUCGGACCAUCCUGAGCGUUCAUGCUAAUGUCACUGAUGCUGCUAGCACCAUGGUUAGCACCCUCAGUAGUGGUGGAGGGUUGACCUCAGGCCCGGGGUGGGUAAUCGGGAGAAUCGGGAGAGUUCCCGGUGGGCCGCUUCACUUCUGGGCCGGUCGAGAAUUGUAUUUUUUGACAUUUGUCACUUUAGUCCAUCUUCUCUUAAAGUAGGCUACACACGUUCCGCAUUCUGACACCGCAGCCUCUGCAUGGGUUGUACCAUGCGAGGGAGUUCUCCCCUCCCAAAUAGAGUUGGUUGGGUCCAUAGCCCGUCUUUUCCAAAAAGUUUUCUCAGACUACCGAUAGCUGGGCCGGCCCUACCCCAACGAUAUGCAUCAGAGAGGAUGGAUGGGAGGAAGAGGGGCUGAAAAAGCCAGGUUGAAAAAAAGAAAGGCAUUGGAGGAGGAUGCUGCCAAAUGUUGUAAGCUUACCGAUUUAUUUUCAAGAGGACAAACACAAGUGGCAACUGGUAAAGAGAGACAUAGGCCUAAUGAUUAGCAACGUAACUAUUAGGCUAACGUUGUAGCGUUGUCAACCUAUUCGCAAGCAAAAUACUACCAGAGAUGGAGCUUGAAAGCAGGACCUGUUCCUCCUGCAAAAACUGUGCCAUUUGUGUCAAUUUAAUAGCUACUCUCACAGUACAACCUCCUCACAGAUGCUUAUCAUGUCAUUGGGUUAGCAUAUAAGUUUCUGUUGACUUUGUCCAUCACACAGGUUGCAUGUGAGAGAAGCUUCUAAACCUUAAAAUUUGUGAAGAAUAGGCUACGAAGCUCAUUGAGUCAGGACCAUUUGGAGGCUUUCAUCAUAAUGUGCACAGAGAAGGAAAUCCCCAUGUCUAUAAGCAACGACACAGUUAUUAUAGAUAAAGUGGCUGAAACCAGUGCACUGCUUAGGCGGUUACUGAUGCUGUAGAUGCUGUUGGUGCUGUUCGCAAUGUAACUUCUGUACUGUGAGUUGAACUGUAAACAUUAGUUCAAUAUGCCUCUUUGUUGAAGAGUGGCAUACGUUUCAAAUGCUUUAUUUAUUUAUUUCUGCUUUUGUUAAUUUAUCAACCUAUCCUUGUGGAAUAGUGGAAUAUUUUUUGUUAACUUCUCAGCUUAAGUGGAUUAUUAUUUAACCUUUACAUUAUUUGUUGAACCAUGGUAUUAAUAAAGAGAAAACUACAGGAUAGUAAGAGCUGAACUGUUACUUCAUUUAUCCAAUUUCCACUACCAUGGAAAAAGUGGGCCGGUCUUGGGCCUGAAAUUCCCGGGCUGAAAAGUGGCCCCACUCCGGCCCUGGUUCACCUCCUUGACCACAACGUUCCUCUCUUUAAAAAUCCACACCAGAUACCCCUGGCAUUUCUUCUUCUUCUACGUCACUCUUGUUUUUUAAUCGUUCUUCCAAACAUGGACAUUUACAGUAGGUAGCAAAAACCGAUGCAUUGUUGAUAUUCACUUGAAACUACAACGCACUAGCUCGCUUUCUCCUUCAACCGUCCGGUAACGUCAACAUUCAAGCGUGCAACGUGAAAGUUGGGUCAAAGGUUAUGACAGAAUGAUUGCUCUGUGUCUAAAACAAUCUGUUCAUUUCAAUCUGUUAUUAUUUUCUUUUGUGAGUUAAAUAUUAUUAUCACACAAUAAAUAACGCAGAAUGAAAUUAAAUAACAAUAAUAAAUAAACCAUUAUUUUCUUGGGGGUGCUAUGGGGGUGCUAUGGCUAAUCCAGGGGGAGCUAGAGCACCCCCUAGCCCCCCCUGGCGCCGCACCUGGCGGGGUGUCAGGUGUCCUUUGCAUCUUUGCCAUGUCUCCGUUGCCG